CUUACUAGUACUAUAUUCAAAAUGGUGGCUAUUCUACUAACGAUUGUCAUUGCCACUCUAAUGAAAUGUACGAACGCGUGUGGUGUAUCAACACAUAUCUCCAUUGCAAACCAAGCUCUGGAGUCGUUCGCCGAUAGUGGAGAAUACAACGUUAGUUAUCGAGAUAUCAUUUUAAACAACUAUGACGCUUUCUACGCCGGUAGCAAUUAUCCAGAUGCCAUGUAUUCAAGCGCUUGCUUUGGCGGUCGUUUCCAUGAUAUAUCCGAGGAUACUCAUUGGACACCAUUUCUCAACGCAACAGCAAACUAUAUUAGAAAACGAUACCCGCAACCUUGGAGUAAGGAUACAGAAAAACUGAUUGCUUUCACGUUUGGUGUGGUAUCUCACCAAGUGGCUGACAUCACAUGGCACAGUCUGGGUAUCGACCAAGGUUUCUUACAAACAAUGGCUAAUGUCAAUUUCUAUGGCUCGUUUUCCACCGCUCAUCCCCUUGGAGACGCUGGAGGUGAUAUGGUUUCUAUUUUUGAAGGAGAUCUCCAGGAUAUAUUACUAACACAAAAAUGGUAUUUUCCAGUCGAAGAUUUGGUGAAUAUCUACAAAAAACUUUAUGGAAAAAUUAGAAUUGAUGAAAACAUUAUAAUUUCGUGCAGUUCACUUCUUUUCGCUGAAUGGAUUGGAGAAAAAAUCGCUGGAGCUGACCUUUUUACACUUUUUGCAGAUAAAUCUCCUUUUCUCGUUGAAAAACUCCAUAGUUACUUCCUAGGCGGGAAAUCUGAUAUGGCAGCCUGGUCUUCCAUAAUAUGGCAUGAGGCAGCGCACUUGAUAGAAAAGGGAUCUGCAGCGUGCGAAAUGCCACGAAAUCCAUUGUAUAUCCGAUGCAAUCCGGGAAAAAGUCUGAGUUUAAGUGAUUUUAACAAUAAACUACAAAGAAGACCGCGACGGAUUUCGCUUAUUCACUUUAAAAACGUAAACAAUGCCGAUAUUAAGAUCACGCCAACAUCGCGAGGCGUUUAUUUUGACAUAAAGGGUGAAACAGCUGAAAAACUUCGAGCAAUGGAAAGGCAUCCUCAGACGACCCUCAAUGAACAAAAGAUUUUCGGGAAACACUAUUGGACAAGCAAGUCGCUCAUAUUUUCAACCAAGAUCAAAUAUGCUGAACUAGGAUGGAGUCUCGCUUCUGGACGGUUGCCCGGUUACGGGGAAGUCCUAAUUACUGCUGCACCUUGGUAUGGAAGUCCUGGAAACAGUCAACAUGGACGAGUGUACAUAUUAUCGACAGGCAAGAGUUUUCUUGAUGGAAAUUAUACAGAUAUCGACCAGGCAGCUAAUCAAAUACUAGAAGGAACUGCAACGAAUAGCAGAUUUGGUUAUGCAUUGACUCUACUUGACUACAAUGCAGAUGGUGUGAACGAUUUGGCCAUCAGCGCACCAUCGCAAGGAUCUAACUCUCUGAACUACACGGGUGCAGUGUAUAUUUAUUACGGGAACAGCACAAGUGGUCGCGUGAACACCAAGCCCGACGUUAUUAUUCUUGGCGACCAGCGGUAUUUUAACCUUGGAACGCGGUUACUUGGUGCUGAUGUAAAUAUGGAUGGCUUCGACGAUCUCAUUAUUGGAUCAAAAUAUUCGCCAUCGGGAGGGGCGCAGCGGGGAUCAGUCAUUGUUUUUAUCUCUAGGAAAAGAGAUGAGAAAAAGCCGCAAACACUCUACUCCAGCCAAGCUGAUUUGUGGCUAAAAGGCGAGCAAAAUUACAGUUGGUUUGGUCACGACUUUGCCUUCCAAAAGAAAACAUCCAUUGGGCCAACGCUUAUUGUAUCAGCUCCAACCUUCAGGAUUUGCGCACUUAAGAACUGUUCCUAUUCCAAAGAUGACGUACAGAGCGCUGGAAAGUUGUACGGAUACCAGAUGUCAGGUGGCGAAUGGAAAUUGAAAUUCCAAGUGAUCGGUGAAACUCCAUUGGGUCAACUUGGUAGUAGUAUUGCUAUUGGGGAUCCUUUUGGAUCUGGGCCUGAUAUUUUGGCCGUAUCAUCUCCGACAUCAGAUGUUUAUGGUCACCGCUCGCUAGAAGUUCCUUCAAAAUUCGAACAGGCUGGCAAAGUCUUCCUACUAAGUCUUGAAAUGUUAGUUGAAAGGUAUCAUGUUCGCGUACCUGGAACUGAGUAUGUGUCUUGUUUUGAAGGAAACCUCGACUUUGGAAGGUUUGGUUGGCGUGUUUUGUUGCAGGAUGUCAAUAAUGACGGUUUAAGCGAUUUGAUUGUGGGGUCACCUUAUCAAACGCAAAACGUGUACACGCCAAAGGGAGGAGAGGAGGGUGCUGUUUAUAUAUACUAUGGUGGUAAGAAGUUUCCCCUUGGAAAUGCAACAAGAGAUUGUGACGUGCUCAGUACUCAACCUUGCCCCCAAGAAAAAGCUUCACUAUACCUAGAUCCUAAUCAGAGAUUUAGUCAAUUUGGACGAGAGGUGGUUGCAUUGAGUCUUGCAACCGCAUCAGGUGAGUCGAAACCUCAUCAAUAAUCUAGCAGCAGAGAACUCGUGCAUUAGUGAGUGUCCGCAUUGGCGACACUUGAAACCAUGCAUGGUGGUUUGAGUUAAGGGUGCAAAACUUGGUUGAACAGGGGCGUUCACGGAAGGUCUCCGUCUCGCGAGGGUCACUUUAGUUAUGUCAUUUAUUUGCUGAAGUGGAUGUUGAUGAUCUUGAGGUAAACUUCGUCGUGGAAAACUCGUGUAUUAAUUAACUGGUCUGGUGAAGAAAAUAAAUGCUGAAGAGUAACUUAUUUGAUUAUUUUGCAAAUACCAGUAAUCUUAACAGUGUACGUUCAGUACAAUAUAUUAUGAACUGUAAAAUAACUACACACCUGAAAGUACUGUGACAUGUGCGAAGGGCUAUGAAAUUGUGUUAUAUAUACCACACGUAAUAUACAUGAAAGUAAAAAAGUGAAAAUCAACCAGAUACAUGAAAUGGUAUAAAUUUACUAAAAUCACGCUAAUAAUUCACUAUCGUGGGUGGGGAAAGUUAUUCUGGUAAAGUAAUUACCACAUUAUCGGUUUACCCGCAGAAAUCGUCACUCUAGGAUUCAUAUCAAUGAAAGGCAUUUAUCUAAGACGCUGUACUUGUCACGAGUGUACUGUAAGUAACUACUUUAUAGUAAUAACGCCCGCUUAAAUUUGAGAAAUACUGCAAAAUUACCAAAAAAAAUAGAAUGCACGCAGUAUACAGCGCAUGUGAAAGUUUGAAAAAAAACCAUCAUGCAAAACCAUCUUUGCAUCUGCCUAUUUUGAACCAGAGAGUUUCUAGUAAUCCUGGUUUCGCCGUAAAAUGUUAUUUAGUCAAGUAUAUGGUUGUCAUCAACAUUGAACUUUAUUGUUGCAUUCGAUUUAGUUUCAACAAUAUUGUUCAACUUGCUUGACAAGUUUGAA